CAUAAACCCAGUGGAAUACUAUUCAACCUUCAAGAAAGAGAAUCCUGCCAUUGACAAUAUGAACUGGGAGCACAUUAUAUUAAAUGCAGUAAGCCAAGCAGAGAAAGAGCCACAUAAUCUGGCUGAUAUGUGGAAUCCAAGGAUGUCACACUCUGAGACACUGAGAACAGAAUGGUGGUUUCCAGAGAUGAGUGUUGGGUGGGAAGAUGCUGGCCAGUGAUAGAGUGUUAGGUUAGGAAGAGCUUGGCAAGGAACUGCACUGUAUGCCAUGGUGAUCAUAGUUCCUAAUAUGCACAUAUGCUUGAUAUUUGUGGAGGUUAAGUGUGUUCCCUGCAAAAAUAAGGCAUAUGAGGUAGCAUAUACCAGUUUACACACACUUGUAACUGCAUGCUGUAAUGCCAGUUUAAACAAUGUAUAGAAAUCAAAGACAAAAUAGCAAAGACAAAAGAGAGGAAAUUAUAGUGGAUUCCAUUACCUACAUGACUCCCGAAUAGGAACCACUGCUGUCUCAUGGAACGUCAGUGUGGGAGGACAUUACAGAAUGUGUAGUUCUAGGUGGUUCCCAGGAAACUGAACAAAGCUGUGUACCUAAGUAAGAUAAAAAUCAAGACAUACAUUAAGCCAAUGAUGUGAAAACACAAUUCAGCUGACUGAUUUGGAUCCAAGGGAGAAUUUUGACUGUCAUAAAGAUGGAUGCUGCAAAGGAAGCAUUUGUCCAUUUUACUAACAAAUGCUUCUUGCUUUGCUCUCAUGGCCUGGUCAAGGGACCUCACAGAUGAAAGCCCUACCCAGCACAUCGAUGCCAGAGAGAAACAACAAACAGCAAACAGCUUCUUCUUCAUCAAGACUUUGUCCGUGACAUGACCUCCUUUAACAAUCCCAGCACUCGGGAGGCAGAGGCAGGCGGAUCUCUGUGAGUUCGAGACCAGCCUGGUCUACAAGAGCUAGUUCCAGGGCAGCCUCCAAAGCCACAGAGAAACCCUGUCUUAAAACAAACAAAUUCCCUU
rnacentral:lncRNA from 1 species